rnacentral:lncRNA from 1 species
GGUGGAUACCAUAAACAUGUAAGGGUACUAUCGGGAUUGGUUGUUGCCUUCUCCACUGUAGGAGGGCCGGGCAGAGACGCUUCACCAAGAGAAUUUUUGAGGAGAAAAAUGCCUGGGGCCUUUUCUUCCCACUACCUACUCCAGUGGAGGCUUCCCGUCAGGUCCCUGGACAAGGUUUUCCACUCCUCAGGUUAUCGGAGGCUUCAGUGCCAGUAGAAAACCAGGCUGAAGCCCUCUCAAGGGUUGUGAAUCUCUGCAGAUCUGCCUUCUGCAAAUCAUUUGGUAAGGAAAUCUUACUGAGGAUGUGGAAACACUGCGAGAGAAUCCUGUGAUCCUGAUAAUUCCCAACAUGAAGAGAUACUUUUGCAGGUUAGUCCUUGAACACAUUUUCAUCCUUCACUGAGAUCACCUAAUGUUUGACAUUUGUCAGGUACCUGCUGUGUGCCAGAUACUGUUCUGUGCCUUGGGGGUACAAAGGUGGAUAAUACACAGGCACUGUACCUGGUUGGUUAAGCCUAUUUUCUUGCUGUUUUCAGUGUUGGAGGUAAAUUUCUACUAGAAAAUUCAUGUGAGAAGUUGUGGUAAAGCCAUUUUUUUUGAGGUGUAAUUAAUUUAAAAUGUUAAAUGAAUUUUAGGUAUACAACCUAAUGAUUUGAGAUUUUCAUGUGCUGCGAAAUAUCAAUGUAGUAAAUCUAGUUAACAUCUUGUCUAAUUAUUGAGCCAGCAGGCAAUAAAGCCAAUUCCAUUGUGUAAGUUUCCCUAGUU